GCCAGACUCCUACGGGAGGCAGCAGUGGGGGAUAUUGCACAAUGGGGGGAACCCUGAUGCAGCGACGCCGCGUGGGUGAAGGAGUGCUUCGGCAUGUAAAGCCCUCUCGGCAGGGAAGAAGCAAGACGGUACCUGACUAAGAAGCCCCGGCUAACUACGUGCCAGCAGCCGCGGUAAUACGGAGGAUGCGAGCGUUAUCCGGAUUUAUUGGGUUUAAAGGGUGCGUAGGCGGAAUGCCAAGUCAGCGGUAAAAUCGCGGGGCUCAACCUCGCUCCGCCGUUGAAACUGGCGUUCUUGAGUGGGCGAGAAGUAUGCGGAAUGCGUGGUGUAGCGGUGAAAUGCAUAGAUAUCACGCAGAACUCCGAUUGCGAAGGCAGCAUACCGGCGCCCAACUGACGCUGAAGCACGAAAGCGUGGGUAUCGAACAGGAUUAGAUACCCGAGUACA
rnacentral:rRNA from 1 species